AUCUUAUUCAUCAAGUACUUGAUGUGCAUAUACAUAAGUGAGCCAAGAAAGUUAAACAGGUCACGCUCCCAAGGUUCACUUGAUAUUUCAGUAAGAAACAUUCAGAAAGGCAGGGUAAGACUGCGUACAUUAGACCCUUGUGUCCGGCCCUUCCCCAAACCCCGCGCAUAGCGGGAGCUUAGAGCACCGGUUUGCCAUUUUGCCCUUUAAACAUAGCAGUUGAUUACUCUGAGGGCAGAUUCAAGAACUGUAUAAGGGCUCUGGAUCUACAUUUCUUCUAAUCCUGAAACAUUUUCCAAAAACAAAAGCAGCAUGUAAGUUGG
rnacentral:lncRNA from 1 species